rnacentral:rRNA from 1 species
UAGGGAAUAUUUGCUCAAUGGGGGAAACCCUGAAGCAGCAACGCCGCGUGGAGGAUGAAGGUUUUCGGAUUGUAAACUCCUUUUGUUAGAGAAGAUAAUGACGGUAUCUAACGAAUAAGCACCGGCUAACUCCGUGCC